rnacentral:tRNA from 1 species
GAGGGUAUAGCUCAGUGGUAGAGUGCGUGCUUAGCAUGCACGAGGUCCUGUGUUCAAUCCCCAGUACUGCCA